rnacentral:rRNA from 1 species
UACGAAGGGGGCUAGCGUUGUUCGGAAUCACUGGGCGUAAAGCGCACGUAGGCGGAUUGUUAAGUCGGGGGUGAAAUCCUGAGGCUCAACCUCAGAACUGCCUUUGAUACUGGAGAGCUUGAGUCCGGAAGAGGUGAGUGGAACUCCGAGUGUAGAGGUGAAAUGCGUAGAUAUCGGGAGGAACACCAGUGGCGAAGGCGGCUUCCUGGCCUGUUCUUGACGCUGAGGCGCGAAAGCUAGGGGAGCAAACGGG